UACGGGGGGGGCAAGCGUUGUUCGGAAUUACUGGGCGUAAAGGGCGCGUAGGCGGCCUGCUAAGUCGGACGUGAAAUCCCUCGGCUCAACCGGGGAACUGCGUCCGAUACUGGUGGGCUCGAAUCCGGGAGAGGGAUGUGGAAUUCCAGGUGUAGCGGUGAAAUGCGUAGAUAUCUGGAGGAACACCGGUGGCGAAGGCGGCAUCCUGGACCGACACUGACGCUGAGGCGCGAAAGCUAGGGGAGCAAACGGG
rnacentral:rRNA from 1 species